rnacentral:rRNA from 1 species
AUGCGGUCGCAGCCCUAUCCGCACCCUUCCCACCUGAUUCACCCGCAGCACGCCAUGCAGGUGGCACUUUUGCUUGUGUCUUGUUUUCUUUUCGAAAUGGUGAAGCUGACAAUGAUAGCUUGUAUCACUGAUGGCCUACAAUUGACGGAGUGCUUAGAUGGUGGUUAUGUGAAGGAUGUUGUCUUCUACAAGCAGCAAGCAAAAUUGUUGUUCAAAAACAUAUCUAAAGACCAGCAUGAACCAUCAAGACUAUCAACUGAGACUGGACCAUACCGUUUCCAGGUCAGGGUAUGUAUUUACAGUACAUCAUACAUUUUUUGCUUUCAGCAAGAUGAGGAUAAUGUGACUGUUUGUGUGCGUGUGUGCUAUAUGAUACAUUUUCGCUUUCGUCAAGAUGAGGAUACUGUGACUAUUUGUGUGCGUGCGUGCGUGCUAUAUGAUACAUUUUUUGGCCAUAAUCAAGAUGAGGAUACUUGA